rnacentral:rRNA from 1 species
AUUGACCGCUGGCGGCCGGCCUAACACAUGCAAGUCGAACGAGUGGCGGACGGGUGAGUAAUGUCUGGGAAACUGCCUGAUGGAGGGGGUUAACUACUGGAAAGGGUAGAUAAUACCGCAUACCAUCGGAUGUGCCCAGAUGGGAUUAGAUAGUAGGUGGGGUAAAGGCUCACUUAGGCGACGAUCCCUAGCUGGUCUGAGAGGAUGACCAGCCACACUGGAACUGAGACACGGUCCAGACUCCUACGGGAGGCAGCAGUGGGGAAUAUUGCACAAUGGGCGCAAGCCUGAUACAGCCAUGCCGCGUGUAUGAAGAAGGCCUUCGGGUUGUAAAGUACUUUCAGCGGGGAGGCGUUACCCGCAGAAGAAGCACCGGCUAACUCCGUGCCAGCAGCCGCGGUAAUUC